rnacentral:lncRNA from 1 species
GUUAUUCCUCCGAAUAGAACAUGGCCAUAGGGGUGGAUACCCCCACUAUCUGUACAAAGAUCUCAGGUGCGAAUCCACCGGUCGAUCUAGCUAUCCGUAUAUAGAUAUAUGAUCUAGCAUGCCCAUUUGUGAAAUAAAAAAUAAAAUUCCAUACAAAGAUCUCAGGUGCGAAUCCACCGAUCGAUCUAUCUAUCCGUAUAUAUAUAUGAUCUAGCAUGCCCAUUUGUGAAAUAAAAUAAUAAAUUUCAUUUCCCCCCACCCCCACUCCAUGUACGAAUAAAGUGCGAAAGGGGGAGUAGUAAUAAGUCAUAUAGAAUCAAUGGAUUCAUGAUAAAGUAAAAUCCCUCGAUGACAUAUUUUAUCACAAUUAAUNNN